AUUGAACGCUGGCGGGAGGCCUUACACAUGCAAGUCGAACGAGUGGCGGACGGGUGAGUAAUGUCUGGGAAACUGCCUGAUGGCGGGGGAUAACUACUGGAAACGGUAGCUAAUACCGCAUACCAUCAGAUGUGCCCAGAUGGGAUUAGCUAGUUGGUGGGGUAACGGCUCACCAAGGCGACGAUCCCUAGCUGGUCUGAGAGGAUGACCAGCCACACUGGAACUGAGACACGGUCCAGACGCCUACGAGAGGCAGCAGUGGGGAAUAUUGGACAAUGGGGGCAAGCCUGAUGCAGCCAUGCCGCGUGUAUGAAGAAGGCCUUCGGGUUGUAAAGUACUUUCGGCAGAGAGGCGUUAUCUGCAGAAGAAGCACCGGCUAACUCCGUGCCAGCAGCCGCGGUAAUAC
rnacentral:rRNA from 1 species